AAGUCGUAACAAGGUUUCCGUAGGUGAACCUGCGGAAGGAUCAUUAUUGUAUCUUUGUUGGGAUUGAGCUGCGCUUUCACUAGCGCGCUUACCCGACCAACCUUUACACACUAUGCGUAUUCUUAUAUGAAUGAUGCUACUUUGGGUGGUGAUUUCACUGCCCAGAGUUCUUAAAAACACAAGAUUUUUUCAAUCUUUUAUUAAAAAAACUCAGUCAAGAAGUUAUUAUAAUACUAUAAUCUUCAAAA
rnacentral:misc_RNA from 1 species